rnacentral:rRNA from 1 species
AGUGAACGCUGGCGGUAGGCCUAACACAUGCAAGUCGAACGGCAGCACAGUAAGAGCUUGCUCUUACGGGUGGCGAGUGGCGGACGGGUGAGGAAUACAUCGGAAUCUACUUUUUCGUGGGGGAUAACGUAGGGAAAGUUACGCUAAUACCGCAUACGACCUACGGGUGAAAGCAGGGGAACUUCGGAGCUUGCGGGAUUGAAUGAGCCGAUGAGGGGUUAGCUAGUUGGCGGGGUAAAGGCCCACCAAGGCGAGGAUCCGUAGCUGGUGUGGGUGGAUGGUCGGCCACACUGGAGCUGAGACACGGUCCAUACUCCUACGGGAGGCAGCAGUGGGGAAUAUUGGACAAUGGGCGCAAGCCUGAUCCAGCCAUACCGCGUGGGUUAAGAAGGCCUUCGGGUUGUAAAGCCCUUUUGUUGGGAAAAAAAAGCAGCAGGUUAAUACCCCGCUGUUCUGACGGUACCCAAAGAAGAAGCACCGGCUAACUUCGUG